UGGGGAAUAUUGGGCAAUGGGCGCAAGCCUGACCCAGCAACGCCGCGUGAAGGAAGAAGGCUUUCGGGUUGUAAACUUCUUUUAUUCGGGACGAUAAUGACGGUACCGAAUGAAUAAGCCACGGCUAACUACGUGCCAGCAGCCGCGGUAAUACGUAGGUGGCAAGCGUUAUCCGGAUUUACUGGGUGUAAAGGGCGUGUAGGCGGGACUGCAAGUCAGAUGUGAAAACUAUGGGCUCAACCCAUAGCCUGCAUUUGAAACUGUAGUUCUUGAGUACUGGAGAGGCAGGCGGAGUUCCGUGUGUAGCGGUGAAAUGCGUAGAUAUACGGAGGAACACCAGUGGCGAAGGCGGCCUGCUGGACAGCAACUGACGCUGAGGCGCGAAAGCGUGGGGAGCAAACAGGAUUAGAUACCC
rnacentral:rRNA from 1 species